rnacentral:rRNA from 1 species
AGCUCCAAUAGCGUAUAUUUAAGUUGUUGCAGUUAAAAAGCUCGUAGUUGGAUUUCGGGUGGGACGCAGCGGUCUCGCAUUGCGUUUGUACUGCUGCAGCCCUCCUUCUUGCCGGGGGCGGCCCAUCGGACUUCAUUGUCUGGGGGUCAGAAUCGGCGAUGUUACUUUGAGUAAAUUAGAGUGUUCAAAGCAAGCUUACGCUCUGAAUAUAAUAGCAUGGGAUAACACGACAGGACUCUGGCCUAUCGUGUUGGUCUAUAGGACCAGAGUAAUGAUUAAGAGGGACAGUCGGGGGCAUUCGUAUUCCGUUGUCAGAGGUGAAAUUCUUGGAUUUACGGAAGACGAACAUCUGCGAAAGCAUUUGCCAAGGAUGUUUUCAUUG